CAGUCGCCACGGUAAUACGUAGGUGGCAAGCGUUGUCCGGAAUUAUUGGGCGUAAAGCGCGCGCAGGUGGUUUAAUAAGUCUGAUGUGAAAGCCCACGGCUCAACCGUGGAGGGUCAUUGGAAACUGUUAAACUUGAGUGCAGGAGAGAAAAGUGGAAUUCCUAGUAUAGCGGUGAAAUGCGUAGAGAUUAGGAGGAACACCAGUGGCGAAGGCGGCUUUUUGGCCUGUAACUGACACUGAGGAGCGAAAGCGUGGGGAGCGAACAGGAUUAGAGACCCCAGUAGUCCCUGUCUCUUAUAC
rnacentral:rRNA from 1 species